UACGGGGGCAGGGCAGUGUUCGGAAUUAUUGGGCGUAAAGGGCGCGUAGGCGGUUUGCUAAGUUGGAUGUGAAAACUCUGGGCUUAACCCAGAGCCUGCAUCCAAAACUGGCAAACUUGAGUACUGGAGGGGAAAGCGGAAUUCCUGGUGUAGCGGUGAAAUGCGUAGAUAUCAGGAGGAACACCAAUGGCGAAGGCAGCUCGCUGGGACGUGACUGACGCUGAGACGCGAAAGCGUGGGGAGCAAACAGG
rnacentral:rRNA from 1 species